AUUUGGCAACCCUAGAGGCAGAUGAUGCUGAGAGAAGUCAUUGCCUUGAAAAAAAUAUCACUGCCUGCUUUCAGAAAGGUCAGCUGUCCCACAGGUGAACAUGUCUCCCAUUUUGGAAAUUCAAGGUAUCCAUAAAAGCCUGUUCCAUGCUGAUGGAGUCACCCCUUACCCCUGAAGCAUCUGUCUGUUUUAUUCUGGAAACUUCAACAUGGUGCCCACCUCAAAUGCCAUGCUUUUGCUGUGUCAUCCUUCUGGCUCCGAAUCCCGCUCUGAUUCAGGAGCCUGAGCAAUGGCUUGAAUGAUGUCAUCGUAGUCGUGCUUUUAUGUGAAGGAUUCGAGUUCUGGCUGUCGUCGUCGCUACAGUUUUCCAGCUUUGGCUGUGUUGGGUAUGAAAAGCAAGGCUGAUUGGCUGCAAUGCAGGAAACCUUUCAGAUCAUUUUAAAGGAGAAGCCUCCUGGAAGCUGUUUAGAAGACCUGCUGUUAAGAAAACUUAAUACUGCAUCAUUACGCACACUUGUUUAUGUAUCAACAGAACUGGAGAACUGAAACUAUUCACCAGCAAGAUGACUGCAAGCUGGCAUUAAUUGGGGGCGGCAACUGUAUUUAAGAGAAGCUACACCUGGAUGACAGAUUUCAGAGGGUUAGCCAUGAUGUCUUCAGGGUAUGAAGAGACUGCUUGGUUUUUGUUGUGGCAGAUGAAAUAUUCAUUGCAGCAGCAUCCUUUUGUCAGUCGCAGCCCAUUUCAUGUGUUGCUUGCCUUCAUGUGUCCAUUAAAGAGGCUUACGCCACAAUAAGCCAGUUAGUUUUUAAGGGGCCACGAAUACCAACAUUUACAGCGCUGAUAACAAAUUUGGAGACCCAGCUUCAGAGUUGGAUUUGUGUGUGUGUGCUCACUCCAGGGUGUUUGUGGAUGAAGCCCUAGACUGCUAAAUGCUGAAAAACCUAUUUGUGUGACUGAAACAAAGCAAGUUUUCAUGUUCUGUCUGCUUUAGGUUCAUCCAUUUUUCUCCCCAGUCCUCACUGUUGCCUUCUGCAAUCCCUGCUAGGAUAACAACAAUAAAGUUUUAUUUUUCUACCUUGUCUUUUAUUGAUACCUUUUCUGGUGACUGGAAUUACUUCUGUUUGUGUUAAAAUUGAUUUCACAUAUCCUACUCCGACAUUAACAACUGUGAUAUGCUGGCUGUCC